rnacentral:rRNA from 1 species
AGCAGUAGCCGCGGGAAUACGUAGGUGGCAAGCGUUGCCCGGAAUUAUUGGGCGUAAAGGGCGCGUAGGCGGUUUUUUAAGUCUGAUGUGAAAGCCCACGGCUCAACCGUGGAGGGUCAUUGGAAACUGGAAAACUUGAGUGCAGAAGAGGAAAGUGGAAUUCCAUGUGUAGCGGCGAAAUGCGCAGAGAUAUGGAGGAACACCAGUGGCGAAGGCGACUUUCUGGUCUGUAACUGACGCUGAGGAGCGGAAGCGUGGGGAGCGAACAGGAUUAGAGACCCCCGUAGUCCCUGUCUCUUAUAA